GACGAACGCUGGCGGCGUGCUUAACACAUGCCAGUCGAACGGAAAGGCCCUGCUUUUGUGGGGUGCUCGAGUGGCGAACGGGUGAGUAACACGUGAGUAACCUGCCCUUGACUUUGGGAUAACUUCAGGAAACUGGGGCUAAUACCGGAUAGGAGCUCCUGCUGCAUGGUGGGGGUUGGAAAGUUUCGGCGGUUGGGGAUGGACUCGCGGCUUAUCAGCUUGUUGGUGGGGUAGUGGCUUACCAAGGCUUUGACGGGUAGCCGGCCUGAGAGGGUGACCGGCCCCAUUGGGACUGAGAUACGGCCCAGACUCCUACGGGAGGCGGCAGUGGGGAAUAUUGCACAAUGGGCGGAAGCCUGAUGCAGCAAAGCCGCGUGCGGGAUGACGGCCUUCGGGUUGUAAACCGCUUUCGCCUGUGACGAAGCGUGAGUGACGGUAAUGGGUAAAGAAGCACCGGCUAACUACGUG
rnacentral:rRNA from 1 species